GUGCCAGCCGCCGCGGUAAUACCGGCAGCCCGAGUGAUGGCCGAUAUUAUUGGGCCUAAAGCGUCCGUAGCUGGCCCGACAAGUGCGUUGGGAAAUCGACGUGCUUAACGCGUCGGCGUCCAGCGGAAACUGUCUGGCUUGGGACCGGAAGACCCGAGGGGUACGUCCAGGGUAGGAGUGAAAUCCCGUAAUCCUGGACGGACCACCGGUGGCGAAAGCGCCUCGGGAAGACGGAUCCGGCAGUGAGGGACGAAAGCUGGGGUCUCGAACCGGAUUAGAUACCCGAGUAGUCC
rnacentral:rRNA from 1 species